rnacentral:lncRNA from 1 species
AUCUCACUCUUUUUUAAGAUAACUUGACUUAGCGAAUGUUCAUUGGUCAAAUCCCUUCUCUCAGGUUGCAUGGUUCUAGGCAUCAACCAAAUGUGUUUAAUUUGUUUUGUAAUAACAAUUUCGUCAAAGACAUAAUUUUUGCUACCACAAGUCUGGUGCUUUCAUUAAGAGGUUAAUUUAAUUCUCAAAGAAGCUCUCACAAUUCUUUUCCAAAUUUCUACCUUUCUAGAAUUUUUCUAGCGCACCCAAUCUUCAAAUCCUUUAAAAUUUUGAUUCGUGCGCUCUAGACAAAGGAAGAAUGGCAGCAUAAAUGAAAAAUUGCCACCUUCUUAAGUACUAAUGAUUGACAGAAGAUAUCUAAUUGUGAGACUUCAUAUAUAUUGAUGAAGAUAAAAGUAAAAAUAGAAUGGAUAUUUUUGGAUUUUGAUUCAUGCCUUUUGGAUUGAAUGAUUUGAUUCAAACAAAGGAGGUGUCUCAACAUCUUUUUUGGCGUCCUUGAAAAUUUGACACUUCACUUCAUAAGAGGUACAUGUAGAAUUGUCCAUGAAUUGUUAAUUAACUUGGCAUUCAUAUACACAGGCCAUGAGGAUCAUGCAUUAUAAUCUAGGAUUAUAAAGUUCUAAUUUAUGCAUUAAUCUAGAACAAGUCUGAUUCUAGGAUACAUGACACACCCUGACCCGGAAUAUUCACUAGGACUCCGAAUCGAGCUGUAUUGGUCAACACCUAGAAGGUGAUGAGCCAUAAAGUAUAGUGAUGUGGAAAAUGUGAAUAAUUUUAAACCUAAAAGUACCUAAAGACAAGAGUGCGUUGUGAGCGGGGGAUGAACCCAUUUCACAUGCAACGUCAGAGCAUAAGUAAAGUACAAUAGUAUGGGUAAGGAUCAUACCCUCGGAGGUAGCCACUUAUACUGAGAUUUGCCAAGAAUCCUCAUCGAUACGACUUUCAGCAGAUAAAACCUGGAGGGGCGCAAAAACAAGGGUGAAUGGACCUAAAAAUAAAGUUUUAAACCCAUAUAAUUUCCCAGAAAAUAAUAAUACAUAUGUAUAUAGAAAUCAUGCUCGAGAGUAGUGAAAACCAAGUAUAUGCCAUGUCAAAUAUCUCAACAAUGAAAUAAGUAAGCCAUGUGAAAUAAAUCAAUGUAAAAUGAUAUGCCAGCCAAAGUCACUUAAUGUGACCUGUACAGCUGAACCUAUAGCUCAUAAACUAAUUUCUGCACACGAGUCGAAACCACCUAAUAUGGUCUGUACAACAGGCUGGGUGUAAAUAAGUAAGCUCAAGUGCUAUGAUCACGUGAAGACUGUGUGAUAAAUCGCAAGUCACCUAUGAGUCGGAACCACCUAAUGUGGUCUGUACGACAGGCUGACACCUGACUUGGAUCCAAGCUGAGCAUGCGGUGCAGGAGGUGAACAAUCACCUGAAGGCUAAGCCCUAGCCGUGGGCGAAGCAUUAACACUGGGGUGCAGGAUAAUAAGCUUUAAAUGCAUCUACGCAUAAUCAUACACAAUGCAACCACUAUUAUCAUAAUGUACUCACCUGAAGCUUACCUGGGCCUCUGCAUCAUCAUUCAAUAGUAUGCAAAACUAUUCUAAUGCAAAUAUUAAAAUAUAAUGCUUCCUUGACAUGGCAUUGAAGUCAUAAAUUCAUUUAAAAACAGUUUUUAGAAAUCCUAAAGCAUAAAUAUAUAUAUAUAUAUAGAAAACAAAAACCCACUCACCUAAGGUCCACGCUACAACCCCCUAGCAUGAAUAUCGAGGCGUCACUAACGAUCGUCACCUAGAACAAAUA